AAGAAGUUUAAAAACUACAAUUAAAUGCUGCGUGAACAAGCGCAAGAAUUAAAGUUUACAACUUGUGGGGCUUUUUCUCCAGGAGGACAGAAUCUGGGAUGACCAACACUGCUGCUAUACAUGUAACCAGGGCUGUGCUGCUAGGAUGUCCACCCUCAACAUCACCGUAGAUAACUGCACCACAGUCAUACAGAUGCCUGUGUGUCAGGGGAAAUGUGAAUCUCAGCCAAGGGUGGAGUUACAUGGUGACAUGUUGGAGCAGUACUACACAUGCUGUCUGGACUGGAUAUCAGAGAGGAGGCCAGUGACUCUGCUUUGCUCUGACCUCAGUACGAGACAAUACUACUACAAGCACAUCACCAGCUGUGCUUGUAGAUCUUGUGGCUCAAGCUGAAAAAUAAAACUCAGAUGAAAGAAAGAAUUAUUCAUUAGACUUUCACAUGAAAACUAAAUGUAUUAAAAUCUUGUUCCUUAUAUAAAGUAAAUGCUGAAUCAGUUUUAUAUCAAAUAAAGUGAAUGAUUAAAGCAUGUAUUCUUCUGUUUUCUUAAAUGUAAAAACCCCAUAAUAAACAUCAUCAAGAUUCCUACCCAUUUGACGGUCUCAGUGGGGUUUUUUUUUUAAUUAUACAAUACAAUACAAUUUUAUUUAUAUAGCACAUUUAAAAACCAGAGGUAUGCCAAAGUGCUUCACAGAACCAAUUAAGAGCAAUAACAGAUACAAAUAUACUGACAGGUGGGAGACAUAACUAACCAAUAAUACACCAGGCACAGUAGGCACAAAUCAAAAGGCUGAAGUCAAUGAAAUGAUUAUAAACAUUAAUCAUAGCAAAAAAAUAAAUUACAGUACACUUACAAAUGAGAGCUCUAGGAAGCUGGGAAGGAAGGCUAGGCUAAAUACAUAAGUUUUUAAUUGAGAGUUAAAAGACUGAAUUGAAUAAGAUGCGCAAAUAGCUUGAGGGACAUUAUUCCAGAGGUAGGGUGCAACAGAGGCGAACGCGCGGUCACCUCUGGUCUUAAGCCGAGAUCUAGGUCGCCCCAGGAGCAUUUGGCCUGCUGAUCUAAGUGCUCUCCUAGGGGCAUAAAAGCUGAGGAGAUCAGUAAGAUAGCUUGGUGCGGUAUUAUUUAUGAUUUUAAAAGUGAGCAAUAAGAUUUUAAAAUCAAUGCGAUAUUUAGUGGGGAGCCAGUGCAGGUUGGAAAGAACUGGAG
rnacentral:lncRNA from 1 species